AUUGAACGCUGGCGGCAGGCCUAACACAUGCAAGUCGAACGGUAACAGGGAUCAGCUUGCUGAUUCGCUGACGAGUGGCGGACGGGUGAGUAAUGUCUGGGAAACUGCCUGAUGGAGGGGGAUAACUACUGGAAACGGUAGCUAAUACCGCAUAACGUCGCAAGACCAAAGAGGGGGACCUUCGGGCCUCUUGCCAUCGGAUGUGCGCCGUUGGGAUUAGCUAGUAGGUGGGGUAACGGCUCACCUAGGCGAGGAUCCCUAGCUGGUGUGAGAGAAGGACCGGCGACACUGGAGCUGGGACACGGUCCAGAGUCCUGAGGGAGGCAGCAGAGGGGAAUAUUGCACAAUGGGGGCGAGCCUGAUGCAGCCAUGCCGCGUGUAUGAAGAAGGCCUUCGGGUUGUAAAGUAGUUUCAGCGGUGAGGAAGGGAGUAAAGUUAAUACCUUGGCUCAUUGACGUUACCCGCAGAAGAAGCACCGGCUAACUCCGUG
rnacentral:rRNA from 1 species